rnacentral:rRNA from 1 species
UUGAACGCUGGCGGCAUGCCUUACACAUGCAAGUCGAACGGUAACAGGUUAAGCUGACGAGUGGCGAACGGGUGAGUAAUAUAUCGGAACGUGCCCAGUCGUGGGGGAUAACUGCUCGAAAGAGCAGCUAAUACCGCAUACGACCUGAGGGUGAAAGCGGGGGAUCGCAAGACCUCGCGCGAUUGGAGCGGCCGAUAUCAGAUUAGGUAGUUGGUGGGGUAAAGGCCCACCAAGCCAACGAUCUGUAGCUGGUCUGAGAGGACGACCAGCCACACUGGGACUGAGACACGGCCCAGACUCCUACGGGAGGCAGCAGUGGGGAAUUUUGGACAAUGGACGCAAGUCUGAUCCAGCCAUGCCGCGUGCGGGAAGAAGGCCUUCGGGUUGUAAACCGCUUUUGUCAGGGAAGAAACGGCUCGCUCUAAUACAGUGGGCUAAUGACGGUACCUGAAGAAUAAGCACCGGCUAACUACGU